AGAGUUUGAUCAUGGCUCAGAUUGAACGCUGGCGGCAGGCCUAACACAUGCAAGUCGAACGGUAACAGGAAGCAGCUUGCUGCUUCGCUGACGAGUGGCGGACGGGUGAGUAAUGUCUGGGAAACUGCCUGAUGGAGGGGGAUAACUACUGGAAACGGUGGCUAAUACCGCAUAACGUCGCAAGACCAAAGAGGGGGACCUUCGGGCCUCUUGCCAUCAGAUGUGCCCAGAUGGGAUUAGCUAGUUGGUGAGGUAACGGCUCACCAAGGCGACGAUCCCUAGCUGGUCUGAGAGGAUGACCAGCCACACUGGAACUGAGACACGGUCCAGACUCCUACGGGAGGCAGCAGUGGGGAAUAUUGCACAAUGGGCGCAAGCCUGAUGCAGCCAUGCCGCGUGUAUGAAGAAGGCCUUCGGGUUGUAAAGUACUUUCAGCGGGGAGGAAGGUGUUGUGGUUAAUAACCGCAGCAAUUGACGUUACCCGCAGAAGAAGCACCGGCUAACUCCGUGCCAGCAGCCGCGGUAAUACGGAGGGUGCAAGCGUUAAUCGGAAUUACUGGGCGUAAAGCGCACGCAGGCGGUCUGUCAAGUCGGAUGUGAAAUCCCCGGGCUCAACCUGGGAACUGCAUUCGAAACUGGCAGGCUUGAGUCUUGUAGAGGGGGGUAGAAUUCCAGGUGUAGCGGUGAAAUGCGUAGAGAUCUGGAGGAAUACCGGUGGCGAAGGCGGCCCCCUGGACAAAGACUGACGCUCAGGUGCGAAAGCGUGGGGAGCAAACAGGAUUAGAUACCCUGGUAGUCCACGCCGUAAACGAUGUCUACUUGGAGGUUGUGCCCUUGAGGCGUGGCUUCCGGAGCUAACGCGUUAAGUAGACCGCCUGGGGAGUACGGCCGCAAGGUUAAAACUCAAAUGAAUUGACGGGGGCCCGCACAAGCGGUGGAGCAUGUGGUUUAAUUCGAUGCAACGCGAAGAACCUUACCUGGUCUUGACAUCCACAGAAGAAUCCAGAGAUGGAUUUGUGCCUUCGGGAACUGUGAGACAGGUGCUGCAUGGCUGUCGUCAGCUCGUGUUGUGAAAUGUUGGGUUAAGUCCCGCAACGAGCGCAACCCUUAUCCUUUGUUGCCAGCGGUCCGGCCGGGAACUCAAAGGAGACUGCCAGUGAUAAACUGGAGGAAGGUGGGGAUGACGUCAAGUCAUCAUGGCCCUUACGACCAGGGCUACACACGUGCUACAAUGGCGCAUACAAAGAGAAGCGACCUCGCGAGAGCAAGCGGACCUCAUAAAGUGCGUCGUAGUCCGGAUUGGAGUCUGCAACUCGACUCCAUGAAGUCGGAAUCGCUAGUAAUCGUGGAUCAGAAUGCCACGGUGAAUACGUUCCCGGGCCUUGUACACACCGCCCGUCACACCAUGGGAGUGGGUUGCAAAAGAAGUAGGUAGCUUAACCUUCGGGAGGGCGCUUACCACUUUGUGAUUCAUGACUGGGGUGAAGUCGUAACAAGGUAACCGUAGGGGAACCUGCGGUUG
rnacentral:rRNA from 4 species